rnacentral:rRNA from 1 species
CCUACGGGUGGCAGCAGUGGGGAAUAUUGCACAAUGGGCGGAACCCUGAUGCAGCUACGCCGCGUGAGUGAAGAAGUAUUUCUGUAUUUAAAGCUCUAUCAGCAGGGAAGUAAAUGACGGUACGUGACUAAGAAUCCCCGUCUAACUACGUUCCAGCAGCCGCGGUACUACGUAGGGUGCAAGCGUUAUCCGGAUUUAUUGAGUGUAAUGGGAGCGUAUACGGCAGGAAAAGUCCGGAGUGAAAGCGCGUGGCUCAACCCCGGGACUGCGUGUGAUACUCCCAUGCUAGAGUGCUGGAGCGGUAAGCGGAAUGAAUAGUGUAGCGGUGAAAUGCAUAGAUAUUAUACAGAACACCAGUGGCGAAGGCAGCUUACUGAACAGCAACUGACGUUGAGGCACGAAAGCGUGGGGAGCAUACAGGAUUAGAUACCCGGGUAGUC